GACGAACCGUACGAACGUUAUCCGGAAUUACUGGGCUUAAAGGGUGCGUAGGCGGCGCAGUAAGUUGGGUGUGAAAUCCCUCGGCUUAACCGAGGAAUUGCGCCCAAAACUACUGUGCUUGAGGGAGAUAGAGGUGAGCGGAACUUAGGGUGGAGCGGUGAAAUGCGUUGAUAUCCUAAGGAACACAGGUGGCGAAAGCGGCUCACUGGAUCUCUUCUGACGCUGAGGCACGAAAGCUAGGGUAGCAAACGGG
rnacentral:rRNA from 1 species